AAUCCGAGUGGCGACUGAAGGUGGAGGUAAGAUUGAAGAGGCGGAUGCCCGGGCCGUGGCUCAGCAAGAAGUUGUUGAGGGGCGACUCCUCGUGGAGGAGCGCCCAGCUCUGGUGCGCCAGGCGCGGCAGCGGGGCGGCCGACGCGCGGAAGUCUGUGCCGUAGAAGAGCAGCGCGCGCGUCCGCGAGUCCCUCAGCGCUCGGCGGUUCCGGGACGCCACGCACGCGCCGCGCGCACACUCGAUGCGCUCCGAGUCUCCCGGGAAGUGGGGGAAUAGCCCUGGGCUCCACCACAGCAGUACCGGCAAGUCCCCCGCCUCCUCCCUCCCUGGCCGCGGCGUCCCAGAGCUGCGCGUCACCCCCACUGCGCCCAGCGCCGAGGGCGGCCGGAAAACCGCGCCAUCCCACGGUUCCGCCCACUCCGCCUCCCCGCCGGCCUCCCUCUCCGCUACGGACCCAUGGCCGCUGGCUGCACAGACACUGAGCACCCCUAGAAGGACCAACACCACCCUAAUGGGGCCGGCCGCCAUGUCCACUCCGGCAGCCGGCGCCCCCUCGGCCAGCACCGACCCCGCCCAGCGGAUAGUCGUGACCGGACGAGGCCCUACGCCACGGGGGCACGUGGCGCAUGCGCAGCUCGCUCAGCCGACGGCCAGGACUAAAAGCAAAGUGAGCUUUCGGGAGUAAAGAUGAGGCUAAUGGUUACAUCUUAAUUUAUUUUAUUUCUUUACAAAUUAAAGAUGCAUUGAAAAAUAAACCAAUGAAGAGAAAUGAGAGGUCCAGAGCAGGGGCAUCCCAGGUGGGGAGCAGGCAAGCCUGGCCACCAUCAAGCCUAGCCCUUGUCCUGCCCCCAAGCCAGUUGGGGUUGGAAGAUAACUGUCAGCCACUCAGUCAAUACCAAAGCCCAAGCGGUGUCCCAGCAGGAGAGAACGGCGCUCCAGCUGCCUCUGCCUCUCUCCCCAACAACCCCGGGCCUGGAGAAGCAGUGUUUCUCGUGGGAGCUCAGAGUGGGAUGUGAACUGGCUCUGUGAGGUAUUGCAAGUUGAUGACCAGGCUCCCUAGGCUCCCUACAGAACCAUCCAGUGUUGGGGCCUCUCCAGCUGGAAAGGAAGCUGGUACCUCUACCAGAUCUUAAUAUAUUUUGCAACUCAGUUCUCCGGUCACCUCUGACAGUGUGCCUCUCUAUCCACGGAGUGAUCAUCAAUCAUUGCAGGAGAGAGCGAGCGAGCAGUGAAAGCAGAGAAACUUGACUGCUAACCUCCAGGCCCAAGAAGGACUGACCACUUUUCUCUCCACCACCUAUGGGCUAUACCCCAGCUCUUGUGCACCUAUAUGUUUUAUCCCUAAUAUAGGAAGUUGUGGAUGACACUGAGCCCCCUGUAGUAACCUUAGGAUCCCCACUCUUUCCUGCCUGCCCCUCUCCUCUUGGGAGACUGGUCCAAAGGGACACAUAAUAUUGCCAGGGUCUGGGUGCCUCCAAACCCCCAAUACCGAAUCAUAUACAGUGAACUGAGAAGCUACAUUCAUUAUGACAGGAUUAGCAGGAAAAAGAGGGUAGAAUGAGGGAACAGGGGCACCUUCCAUCAGCAGGACAUGACAGAGUGGCAGGAUACUUGAGCCCAGAAAGAAGGUGUCUCCUUAUAUCUCCCCCUCCCCCCAGAGAGACUGAGGUCAGCUUACAUAAGAUAUGUUACUGUCCCAAUUUCUCUGACAUCCUGGGGUGCUUUCUGGAAGCUAGCCUGGGCCCUAUGCCAUUUACCCACUUGCUUUAGCUCAGUAGCUGCCGAAUCUCCUUGUGCAUAUGACAGAGAAAGUCCACAUAAGAUGCUCCCCCACUCAGACUCUUGUCUUCCACCAGGAAGUGCUUGAACAGCAUCUCCAUCUUGUCUUCCUGUUUCACCACGGUAAGCUACGGCCAGAAUUCAGGGUUCAUAAGGCAAGGCCAAAGGAAAUUAAACAUGCCCAGAAAUCUCAUUAGGCAGUCACUUACUCAUUCCCCACCCAACCCCCACUUCUAGGUGAGGACUUGACAAGGUAAGAAAUCCAGGGUUCAGAUCAGUGUUACCUUCAUGUACCGGGAUCUCUGUGCCCGUAAGCUAUCAAUGAGGCCUCGAACCUUCUUGGACAGUGGAUUAUCCAGAACUGGCAGAACACUCUAGAACACAAAAUUCAUUUAUCCUUAUGGUAAGGCACUCUGAGUUCAGUCAAGGUGGGGCAGCAUACAUGUAUGCAUCAUCUGAAACAGGCAAACCUGGGAAGAAUGACAGCAACUGCCCUUGUCCCCAAGUGUUCCCUGAUAUUUGAGGGUACUAGCACACUAACUAUAUUGGCUCCCAAUUGUUUCACAAAGUAUACUUCCACACCCAUAUUCUCCUUGACUCCCUGCCCUCACCAAACCACUGGUGAUCUGACUGAAGGAGGAGACGCUGAAAAGGCUCUGGACAACACCCUGUUGGACGCUUGCUCCCACCCAGAGGAAGAGGUUGAGCCCAUUCUCCAGUAAAUAUAUAUCCCCAUUGCUUAGACGCUCUUCAGAGGCUCGAACUGCUGGUGGUUCGGUAGUACUCUCAACGGGAGACUUUGUCUAGACAAAAGGAAGGGAGCAAAAGGUUACCAAGGACCAUAAGACAAGUCUGCCCCCCCGCACCACACACAAAAUUUUGAAAGCUAAGUCCUCAGACACCACCCCUUCUGGGGUCUCAGUAACUCUCUCAGUGUGAAAAUUACAUCAGCUAAAAUACAUAAAAACAAAUUCCACUAGUGUCUGACUGAUACUAGCCUAUCCUUUCCUCCUCCUAAGAGGCCCUUUGCUCCGUGCAAGAUCUCAUACUCCAACCCUCAAUCGCACCAAAGGUAAGAGCCGAGGGUAGAAGAAGACAUUGGUCUCAGUCACAUCCAUGGAGGUAACUAGCUGUCGGACAUAGGCACGGUCAUCAGUAGUGACUUCAGCUCCAGGCUGCAGGACAUCACUCUUCAACACACAGUUCAGGUAAACUGGGAGUAGCUUCAUGCACUCAGGAAGGAUCAACUGAGGGGAUUAUCAAAAUAAAGUCAAUGAUCAUGAGAAAUCCCUCCCAAAUGCAAACAUUUGUCCCAACAACCCCACCUCCCACUAAUAUACUUGCCCCACCUGUCCUGCAGAGGAGGGGCUAGCACAGUUCUUUCUGUAACAGGCCAGGAUCUGGGCACACUGGGUGAUGAGCGUGUCACGAACAGCCUUCACAGGGCUAUUCAGGACUCCCCGAUAUGCUGGAUGGGAAAGCAAAGAUAGUCACUGGUCAGCUGCCCAUCAUGUGUGCAUUCCCACCAUCACAACUACCCACUCACCAUCCUGGACCUCUCAGCCCCAAUCCCACCCUGCCCUGCUUCUACCCUCACCAAACUUGGCCAUGUAGUUGAUGAGCGUGUCAGUCUCACAGUUUCGAUAUAGAUCAGCCAGCUGGGUGCAGCAGUUCAGGGCCAGAUUAUGGAUGCGGAGCCGACGCUGCCCUGCACAGCUGGUGUAAAGCAGGGCACACUAGGGGAAAGGAGAAAGGGGGAACUCACACCCCUCCCUCACAAAGGCCCUUUGCUACACUAUUAAACUGGAAGAGAGAAAUG
rnacentral:lncRNA from 1 species